UACGGAGGGUGCGAGCGUUGUCCGGAAUCAUUGGGCGUAAAGGGCGCGUAGGUGGCCCGGUCAGUUCGUGGUGAAAGCGCGGGGCUCAACCCUGCGUCGGCCAUGAAUACUGCCGCGGCUGGAGCACUGUAGAGGCAGGCGGAAUUCCGGGUGUAGCGGUGGAAUGCGUAGAGAUCCGGAAGAACACCGGUGGCGAAGGCGGCCUGCUGGGCAGUGCUGGACACUGAGGCGCGACAGCGUGGGGAGCAACAGGG
rnacentral:rRNA from 1 species